rnacentral:rRNA from 1 species
CCCUUAGAUGUUUUAGGCCGCACGCGCGCUACACUGACGAUGGCAACGAGUUUUUCCUUCGCCGAAAGGUGUGGGUAAUCUUUUGAAACAUCGUCGUGCUGGGGAUAGAUCAUUGCAAUUUUUGAUCUUGAACGAGGAAUUCCUAGUAAGCGCGAGUCAUCAGCUCGCGUUGAUUACGUCCCUGCCCUUUGUACACACCGCCCGUCGCUACUACCGAUUGAAUGGUUUAGUGAGGACUCCUGAUUGGCGCCGCCGCCCCGGCAACGGAGCAGCGGACUGCCGAAAAGUUGUUCAAACUUGAUCAUUUAGAGGAAGUAAAAGUCGUAACA